GACGAACGCUGGCGGCGUGCUUAACACAUGCAAGUCGAACGGAAAGGCCCUUCGGGGUCCUCGAGUGGCGAACGGGUGAGUAACACGUGGGUGAUCUGCCCUGCACUUUGGGAUAAGCCUGGGAAACUGGGUCUAAUACCGAAUAGGACCACGCGCUUCAUGGUGUGUGGUGGAAAGCUUUUGCGGUGUGGGAUGGGCCCGCGGCCUAUCAGCUUGUUGGUGGGGUAAUGGCCUACCAAGGCGACGACGGGUAGCCGGCCUGAGAGGGUGACCGGCCACACUGGGACUGAGAUACGGACCAGACUCCUACGGGAGGCAGCAGUGGGGAAUAUUGCACAAUGGGCGCAAGCCUGAUGCAGCGACGCCGCGUGAGGGAUGACGGCCUUCGGGUUGUAAACCUCUUUCAAUAGGGACGAAGCGCAAGUGACGGUACCUAUAGAAGAAGCACCGGCCAACUACGUG
rnacentral:rRNA from 1 species